CAGACUCUCAUAAUGUACCUCAGUUAGGUACCUAUAUCUAAUUUUAAAAUUAUUUGAAUCAGAGCAAAAAUAAUUUGCUAACACUCAUUUAAGUUUUAAUAGGGUUUUUAUUAAAAUAGAUCUGCAAAUUCUGUCAUUUUAUAAUGAAGCUUAAGUCAAGGCCAGUGAAGGAGAGGGAAAAUAUUGUACUGCUCUGGGAUAUGUGCUGCUUUGGGAGAUGAUUUGUUCUGUAGUGAUAUCGUAUUCUUGUCUCACUGCACACAGUCAGCUACUGCACUUCAUCCCCUGAGGAUGCCUGAGUUACUCACUCACAUCCAUCCAAUGUCCUCUGUGAUCUGAUUCUGAUCACCAGCAGUAACUAAUGGGAGCUACUUCACUGGAGUGGACAUGUUGCCAUAAUCAGCUGAUCCAGAUAUCAAGAACAUUUUAUUCAGGCCAUAUCACUCCUGCUACUCACUUUCAAGCAUAAAAUUAUUUCAGCUUGAACUUAAUGCAAACUGAGAUGGAUGAACCAGGAGAUUACAUUCAAGGUUAAAAAUGUAAGUAUGGAAUUCAUAAUUAUCUCCAGAGAUAUAAUUACGUGAUGAGGAGAGGUGUUUUAAUUGGUGUCCUAGAUAAGGGUUGCAUAUAACUACUGUCUUCAAAGCUUCAGGUAG
rnacentral:lncRNA from 1 species